UACAAAGUCCAUAAGUCAAGACUUCUUCCGACGAGCUUCCGGCGAACUUUCGACGGUCUUCCGAUAAACUCUCGGAAACCAUUCUACGGACUCCCGGCAAGCUCCUAGACUUCACGAUUUGAUCUUGGCGAGUUCCAACGAGCUUAUUCGGUAAGCUCCGAUCUUUCUCGGUGAGCUCCGCGAACUUCCAACGAACCUUCCGGCGAGCUUCC
rnacentral:lncRNA from 1 species